UACGUAGGGUGCAAGCGUUGUCCGGAAUUAUUGGGCGUAAAGAGCUCGUAGGCGGUUUGUCGCGUCUGCUGUGAAAUCCCAGGGCUUAACCCUGGGCCUGCAGUGGGUACGGGCAAACUAGAGUGCGGUAGGGGAGAUUGGAAUUCCUGGUGUAGCGGUGGAAUGCGCAGAUAUCAGGAGGAACACCGAUGGCGAAGGCAGAUCUCUGGGCCGUAACUGACGCUGAGGAGCGAAAGCAUGGGGAGCGAACAGG
rnacentral:rRNA from 1 species